UCCUGGUUAACCCAGGCAGUCUCAUUAGAGUUCCCACCCGAAGUGUUGGCAACUAAUGAUAAGGGUUGCGCUCGUUACCGGACUUAACCGAACACCUCACGGCACGAGCUGACGACAGCCAUGCAGCACCUGUGUAGCGGUCCUUACGGAAAGCUGCAUUUCUGCAGCGGUCCCCUACAUGUCAAGACUAGGUAAGGUUCUUCGCGUAGCAUCGAAUUAAACCACAUGCUCCACUGCUUGUGCGGGCCCCCGUCAAUUCUUUUGAGUUUCACCCUUGCGAGCGUACUCCUCAGGCGGUAUACUUAUCGCGUUAGCUUCGACACAACUGGGGUUGAGACCAGCUACAUCAAGUAUACAUCGUUUACGGUAAGGACUAC
rnacentral:misc_RNA from 1 species